AAAGUGGUGUCGAGAGCCUGAAGAAGAUGAAGAUCUCAGUAUAUAUAGGGUAUUAAAUUGAUGUGUGGAGAGGGACUGGCUGUUGCCUCUGCCGGUCUUGGUUUUGGACAAGAAGAGCAGCUGUCAGCUUCAACACUAGUAGCAAACCACUUUGAAAUGCAAUCUGAACUCUCCUAGCAACCACUUGUCUCUGAGGUGCAGCCUGAUUGUUUGUGCACAUAUGCAGGGUUAUGGUAAGUACGGUGAUGAGCAAAAGGCUUUGCAGAGGCUCACUCAUUGGAUGCAAGAUGGAGUGACUCAAGGACUUGGAGAAAAGUAGAUCCAGGACUUAGAUAUAAUCUUGUAAUGUAAUAACAAAAUAUUUGUACUUGUAUGCAUUUUUCUUUUGCGAGUGAACUUGAAUAACAUUAACCUUGUAUAGAUCGGAUAAACUCAAAAAAUGUGAAUGAUGUAAGGUAGGGCUUUGACUGGUAAUGAAUCUGUAUAUGAACAUGUAUUGGUGACA